UGGGGAAUUUUGGGCAAUGGGCGAAAGCCUGACCCAGCAACGCCGCGUGAAGGAUGAAGUAUUUCGGUAUGUAAACUUCGUAAGAAUAGGAAGAAUAAAUGACGGUACUAUUUGUAAGGUCCGGCUAACUACGUGCCAGCAGCCGCGGUAAUACGUAGGGACCAAGCGUUGUUCGGAUUUACUGGGCGUAAAGGGCGCGUAGGCGGUUUGUCAAGUCAGUUGUGAAAUCUCCGAGCUUAACUCGGAACGGUCAACUGAUACUGUCAAACUAGAGUACAGAAGGGGCAAUCGGAAUUCUUGGUGUAGCGGUGAAAUGCGUAGAUAUCAAGAGGAACACCUGAGGCGAAGGCGGGUUGCUGGGCUGAUACUGACGCUGAAGCGCGAAAGCUAGGGUAGCAAACGGGAUUAGAUACCCUCGUAGUCCCUGAGCGGGCUGGCAAGGCGCAU
rnacentral:rRNA from 1 species